GAUGAACGCUGGCGGCGUGCCUAAUACAUGCCAGUCGAGCGAACAGACGAGGAGCUUGCUCCUCUGACGUUAGCGGCGGGCGGGUGAGUAACACGUGGAUAACCUACCUAUAAGACUGGGAUAACUUCGGGAAACCGGAGCUAAUACCGGAUAAUAUAUUGAACCGCAUGGUUCAAUAGUGAAAGACGGUUUUGCUGUCACUUAUAGAUGGAUCCGCGCCGCAUUAGCUAGUUGGUAAGGUAACGGCUUACCAAGGCAACGAUGCGUAGCCGACCUGAGAGGGUGAUCGGCCACACUGGAACUGAGACACGGUCCAGACUCCUACGGGAGGCAGCAGUAGGGAAUCUUCCGCAAUGGGCGAAAGCCUGACGGAGCAACGCCGCGUGAGUGAUGAAGGUCUUCGGAUCGUAAAACUCUGUUAUUAGGGAAGAACAAAUGUGUAAGUAACUAUGCACGUCUUGACGGUACCUAAUCAGAAAGCCACGGCGAACUACGU
rnacentral:rRNA from 1 species